AGAGUUUGUUCCUGGCUCAGGAUGAACGCUAGCUACAGGCUUAACACAUGCAAGUCGAGGGGCAGCACAGCGUGGCAACACGUGGGUGGCGACCGGCGCACGGGUGCGUAACGCGUAUCCAAUCUACCCAUAACUCCGGGACAGCCCUCUGAAAGGAGGAUUAAUACCGGAUGGCGCAGGGGGUCCGCAUGGACAUAUUGCUAAAGAUUUAUCGGUUAUGGAUGAGGAUGCGUACCAUUAGGUAGUCGGCGGGGUAACGGCCCACCGAGCCGACGAUGGUUAGGGGUUCUGAGAGGAAGGUCCCCCACACUGGAACUGAGACACGGUCCAGACUCCUACGGGAGGCAGCAGUGAGGAAUAUUGGUCAAUGGGCGAGAGCCUGAACCAGCCAAGUAGCGUGAGGGAAGACGGCCCUAUGGGUUGUAAACCUCUUUUGUUCGGGAAUAAAGGGAGGCACGUGUGCCUCUUUGCAUGUACCGUUCGAAUAAGCAUCGGCUAAUUCCGUGCCAGCAGCCGCGGUAAUACGGAAGAUGCGAGCGUUAUCCGGAUUUAUUGGGUUUAAAGGGAGCGUAGGCGGGAGGCUAAGUCAGCGGUUAAAGUGCGGGGCUCAACUCCGUGUUGCCGUUGAUACUGGUUUCCUUGAGUGCGCACAAGGUGGAUGGAAUUCGUGGUGUAGCGGUGAAAUGCUUAGAUAUCACGAAGAACUCCGAUUGCGAAGGCAGUCCACUGGGGCGCAACUGACGCUGAGGCUCGAAAGUGCGGGUAUCAAACAGGAUUAGAUACCCUGGUAGUCCGCACAGUAAACGAUGAAUGCUCGCGGUCGGCGACAGACUGUCGGCCGCCAAGCGAAAGCGUUAAGCAUUCCACCUGGGGAGUACGCCGGCAACGGUGAAACUCAAAGGAAUUGACGGGGGCCCGCACAAGCGGAGGAACAUGUGGUUUAAUUCGAUGAUACGCGAGGAACCUUACCCGGGCUUGAACUGCUGAGGACCGGCCAAGAGAUUGGCUUUCCCUUCGGGGUCUCAGUGGAGGUGCUGCAUGGUUGUCGUCAGCUCGUGCCGU
rnacentral:rRNA from 1 species